UCUGAAAGCAUAGUCUUUGUAAUCAAUCUUAACCUUUGUACACCACCUCCUCAAUACUCAAACAUGGACACCUCCAAGAGUGCAAGCUACAAUGCCGGUGAGGCCAACGCCCGCACCCAGGAAAAGGUCGGACAAAUGACAGAGAAGGCUGGAGACAUGCUUCAAUCUACCAAGGAAUCAAUGCAAGAGGCUGGUUCACAAAUGCAGGCCAAGGCAUCUGAAGCUGCCCAGUCCGUCAAGGACGCCACUGGCAUGAACAAAUGAGCGAGCUGAUGAGCUCCCACCCGAAUAUUAUUUUUCGAACUAGGGUCUAUUAUAAUG